rnacentral:rRNA from 1 species
UACGUAGGGUGCGAGCGUUAAUCGGAUUUACUGGGCAUAAAGCGUGCGCAGGCGGCCCGUUAAGACAGGUGUGAAAUCCCUGGGCUCAACCUAGGAAUUGCGCUUGUGACUGGCGGGCUCGAGUACGGUAGAGGGGGGUGGAAUUCCUGGUGUAGCAGUGAAAUGCGUAGAGAUCAGGAGGAACACCGAUGGCGAAGGCAGCCCCCUGGGCCUGUACUGACGCUCAUGCACGAAAGCGUGGGGAGCAAACAGG